rnacentral:rRNA from 1 species
UACAGAGGGUGCGAGCGUUAAUCGGAAUUACUGGGCGUAAAGCGCACGUAGGCGGCUUUGUAAGUUAGAGGUGAAAGCCCAGGGCUCAACCCUGGAAUUGCCUUUAAGACUGCAUCGCUUGAACAUCGGAGAGGUAAGUGGAAUUCCGAGUGUAGAGGUGAAAUUCGUAGAUAUUCGGAAGAACACCAGUGGCGAAGGCGACUUACUGGACGAUUGUUGACGCUGAGGUGCGAAAGCGUGGGGAGCAAACAGG